AUUGAACGCUGGCGGCAUGCCUUACACAUGCAAGUCGAACGGCAGCACGGGUGCUUGCACCUGUUGGCGAGUGGCGAACGGGUGAGUAAUACAUCGGAACAUGUCCUGUAGUGGGGGAUAGCCCGGCGAAAGCCGGAUUAAUACCGCAUACGAUCUACGGAUGAAAGCGGGGGACCUUCGGGCCUCGCGCUAUAGGGUUGGCCGAUGGCUGAUUAGCUAGUUGGUGGGGUAAAGGCCUACCAAGGCGACGAUCAGUAGCUGGUCUGAGAGGACGACCAGCCACACUGGGACUGAGACACGGCCCAGACUCCUACGGGAGGCAGCAGUGGGGAAUUUUGGACAAUGGGCGAAAGCCUGAUCCAGCAAUGCCGCGUGUGUGAAGAAGGCCUUCGGGUUGUAAAGCACUUUUGUCCGGAAAGAAAUCCUUGGCUCUAAUACAGCCGGGGGAUGACGGUACCGGAAGAAUAAGCACCGGCUAACUACGUG
rnacentral:rRNA from 1 species